rnacentral:lncRNA from 1 species
AACCAGCUAGGAUAGUAAAAAAGUAUCCAUUAAAAGAUUGAGCUUUACUAAUUUCAUUGAGAAUAUAAUGGAGUACUUUUUUCUAGCUAAGUCUCCACAAACUCUGCCAAAAUAACAAUGGCAUGCAAGGGCUAAACUUUUUACGGGCUACUAAUUCUUGGCAAGUGCAUGGUAAGGAUACAAAAAAAAAUUGAUAGGUUGUUGUGAAAACCUGAACUUGAAUGAGAAUAGUGAGUUUUCAUUGUUCUUGUAAUAAUCAAGAAUGAAAUUCACCAUCUUGUGACCAUACUUCUCUGUUGCUCUGGGUUUUAAAUGAGUAAAAAUAGUUAGCCUAAUAAACCUUGAGGGUUCCGCGGCAAGAGCAGGGAAUCUCCAUGUUUGAAUCUUCAUCACUAUCAUGGAAAAUCCUACAUUCUUUUAUCUUCCUUGAUGUAGGCUCUAGGAAAGAAAUCUGUCUCAAAAUCAAUAGAAAUUUAACAUGGAAUAAUCAUGAAAAGAGCAUUCUUACAUUCUCCAUAAAGUGUCUCAAUCCAAAACAGAGCAGCAACAACAACAACAAUAACAACUAUCCAGUAUAGUCCCACAGAGUGAGUCUAGGG